ACACUUACCUGGCAGGGGAGACACUAUGAUCACGAAGGUGGUUUUCCCAGGGUGAGGCUUAUCCAUUGCACUCCGGAUGUUGACCUCUGCGAUGUUGACUCAGUUGACCUCUGCGAUUUCUCUAAAUGUGGGAAACUCGACUGCAUAAUUUGUGGUAGUGGGGGACUGUUUUUGCACUUUCUCCUG
ensembl:snRNA U1 U1 spliceosomal RNA